GUGGGAACGGUGCUUAGAGACCUACAGACACAGAUAUUUAGUCCUCUGCUGCCACCAGCCCAUGGUCAACUGCCAAAUGGACCUGAGUGAUUGGGACCUGGAUCUGGAGUCAAGGUAGACCCACACGGGUGCAGGCUAGGAACACCCUUCCCCACAGAUGGUUUUGUUCAAUUUCACCCUGAGCUUCUUCUUUGGUCUGUGUCAGCCUCUGGGGCCUCGAAACCUUCUUGGAGGAUCUGCAACUGGCUGCCCAUGGCGGCAGUGACCCUGAGGCCGAGGCUUUUCCAUCUUAAAAUUCAAUUCCUGUCAACAUUUUGGCAUUAUCUUCCCUAAAAGAUUCAGGCUGCGUAAUACUCAAUGCCAGUGGCCACAGACUGACCAGGAUCAGUUUCAAGAGUCAACAGAAAUCACUCCAACAUUGGCAACUGGGUAACAGAAGAAAGUGAAACACCAGAAGAGCUGAAAGGGUCAUGUGACCAAAAAAAAGAAGGAAUGUUUGCAAAAGUGUUGGGGAUGGGAGAGGAUGUCUGCAAACAUCCAUGUACCUGCGAGAAAUGGAAGAUAAUGGAGUUGUGGCUCUAAUGUGUGGUUUCACAAGCCAGAAGGACCAUCACAGACAAGACACACAGCACAGAAAAGCAUACAGAUGAGAACUGCAGUUCCCACAUUCAGUCA